GCCGAAGUGGCGGAAUUGGCAGACGCGCUAGAUUCAGGGUCUAGUGGGGUUCGCCUCAUGGGGGUUCGAGUCCCCCCUUCGGCACCA
rnacentral:tRNA from 1 species